rnacentral:rRNA from 1 species
GACGAACGCUGGCGGCGUGCUUAACACAUGCAAGUCGAACGGUGAAGCGCCUUCCUUUUUGGUGGGUGUGGAUGAGUGGCGAACGGGUGAGUAACACGUGAGUAACCUGCCCCCUUCUUCUGGAUAACCGCAUGAAAGUGUGGCUAAUACGGGAUAUUCUGGGUCUGUCGCAUGAUGGGUCUGGGAAAGAUAUUGUUUCGGUGGGGGAUGGGCUCGCGGCCUAUCAGCUUGUUGGUGGGGUGAUGGCCUACCAAGGCGGUGACGGGUAGCCGGCCUGAGAGGGUGGACGGCCACACUGGGACUGAGCCACGGCCCAGACUCCUACGGGAGGCAGCAGUGGGGAAUAUGGCACAAUGGGCGCAAGCCUGAUGCAGCGACGCCGCGUGAGGGAUGGAGGCCUUCGGGUUGUGAACCUCUUUCGCCAGUGAAGCAGGCCUGCCUCGUUUGUGGGUGGGUUGAUGGUAGCUGGAUAAGAAGCGCCGGCUAACUACGUG